GUGCCAGCCGCCGCGGUAAUACGGAGGGUGCAAGCGUUAAUCGGAAUUACUGGGCGUAAAGCGCACGUAGGCGGAUCAGAAAGUUGGGGGUGAAAUCCCAGGGCUCAACCCUGGAACGGCCUCCAAAACUCCUGGUCUUGAGUUCGAGAGAGGUGAGUGGAAUUCCGAGUGUAGAGGUGAAAUUCGUAGAUAUUCGGAGGAACACCAGUGGCGAAGGCGGCUCACUGGCUCGAUACUGACGCUGAGGUGCGAAAGUGUGGGGAGCAAACAGGAUUAGAUACCCCGGUAGUCC
rnacentral:rRNA from 1 species